UACGGGGGGGGCAAGCGUUGUUCGGAAUUACUGGGCGUAAAGGGCUUGUAGGUGGCCAACUAAGUCAGACGUGAAAUCCCUCGGCUUAACCGGGGAACUGCGUCUGAUACUGGAUGGCUCGAGUGUGGGAGAGGGAUGCGGAAUUCCAGGUGUAGCGGUGAAAUGCGUAGAUAUCAGGAGGAACACCCGUGGCGAAGGCGGCUCUCUGGAUCGGCCCUGACGCUGAGGCGCGAAAGCGUGGGGAGCGAACGGG
rnacentral:rRNA from 1 species